rnacentral:rRNA from 1 species
GUAGGGGGCAAGCGUUGUCCGGAUUUAUUGGGCGUAAAGAGCGUGUAGGCGGCCAGGUAGGUCAGCUGCGAAAACUCGAGGCUCAACCUCGAGACGUCGGUUGAAACCAUCUGGCUAGAGUCCGGAAGAGGAGAGUGGAAUUCCCGGUGUAGCGGUGAAAUGCGCAGAUAUCGGGAAGAACACCCGUGGCGAAGGCGGCUCUCUGGGACGGUACUGACGCUGAGACGCGAAAGCGUGGGGAGCGAACAGGAUUAGAUACCCUGGUAGUCCACGCCGUAAACGAUGGGUGCUAGGUGUGGGGGGUGUCGACUCCCCCCGUGCCGAAGCUAACGCAUUAAGCACCCCGCCUGGGGAGUACGGCCGCAAGGCUA